GACGAACGCUGGCGGCGUGCCUAAUACAUGCAAGUUGAGCGCUGAAGGUUGGUACUUGUACCAACUGGAUGAGCAGCGAACGGGUGAGUAACGCGUGGGGAAUCUGCCUUUGAGCGGGGGACAACAUUUGGAAACGAAUGCUAAUACCGCAUAAAAACUUUAAACACAAGUUUUAAGUUUGAAAGAUGCAAUUGCAUCACUCAAAGAUGAUCCCGCGUUGUAUUAGCUAGUUGGUGAGGUAAGGGUCACCCACGCGAAGAUACAUAGCCGACCUGAGAGGGUGAUCGGCCACAUUGGGACUGAGACACGGCCCAAACUCCUACGGGAGGCAGCAGUAGGGAAUCUUCGGCAAUGGACGAAAGUCUGACCGAGCAACGCCGCGUGAGUGAAGAAGGUUUUCGGAUCGUAAAACUCUGUUGGUAGAGAAGAACGUUGGUGAGAGUGGAAAGCUCAUCAAGUGACGGUAACUACCCAGAAAGGGACGGCUAACUACGUG
rnacentral:rRNA from 1 species